rnacentral:rRNA from 1 species
UACGUAGGGUGCAAGCGUUAUCCGGAUUCAUUGGGUUUAAAGGGAGCGUAGGUGGCCUUAUAAGUCAGUGGUGAAAUCUCGCAGCUUAACUGCGAAAUUGCCAUUGAUACUGUAGGGCUUGAGUAUAGUUGCCGUUGGCGGAAUAUGACAUGUAGUGGUGAAAUACAUAGAGAUGUCAUAGAACACCGAUUGCGAAGGCAGCUGAUGAAACUAUAACUGACACUGAGGCUCGAAAGUGCGGGGAUCAAACAGG